rnacentral:lncRNA from 1 species
UCUGUCUCUGGCUGUCUAUGGCUCCUAACACGAUCCACGUUCUAGGGUCCUCGCGCUCGCGCCACAGCCACUAGACUUGCAAGUAUCAAGCCAAUCGAUAUCACCGCCAGGACGACAAGGACGACGAGGACGACCACAACCGCUACAGAGCUGCCGCUGCCGCCGCCGUCCGCCAGAUUAUCAGACGGUCUCUUCAGCUGCGGCGGCGCCGGCAGCGGCGGCUGCUGCUCCACGGUGGAGGUGCGGCGCUCCAGUUGCAG